rnacentral:tRNA from 1 species
UAGCUCAGUCAGUAGAGCAUGAGACUCUUAAUCUCAGGGUCUUGGGUUCAUGCCCCAC